GCGGAGGCGGCGCAGAGGCGCGUCUUGGGUCCCCGCGGCGGCGCCGCGACCCCACCCUGGGGCUUCGCGGUCUCGAUCGAGCUGGCACGCGCGCCCUGCACAUACAGCUGCCUCCCCAACGCCAUUCGGGCCGCAGGGACGCAGACUCCCAGCGCGACGGCCCCAAUCUUCCCUAGACCCCAGUUUUCUUGGCGCCUUUCUCGCCCUGUCUCGGUCAACGUCCCUUGCUGGCCCCGGAGGCUCGUGUAAAGGCAAGUCGGGGGCCCAGCUGCUGCCUCUGUUUCCGAAGCUUCUUGAAAGCCAAGAACGUGCCCGUCCCAAGGGACCUGGGCGAGGAGCCUAAGGUCAACCCCAGUAUCUGCGUCGGGGGUUGUGGGUGGGAUAUAGGCCUGCUCCCCGUACAGUUCACAGCCCCGGGAACUGCAACCCCUCUAAAGCUAAAUAAAUAAAAGAACUAAAGUCAUGUGCAAGGAUUGUGCUUGGAAAGUGGCCUCUGGGGAGGGGAAGUGCCUCAGACACCUGAGGAGCCAAGAAUGUUUCCAAACAGAGUGCCCCAAGGCACUUCCUCCAGGGGAUUCUGAAGACUUCAUCUUGCUCCAUUAGUGUGGUGGGGAGAAGCUGCACAGAUGGGCCUCGAGGCCUCUGGGACCUCACUGAUCCAGGCUGAUCUUUUAAUGGUCCCGGUGCAGCUGGGGAGCUGCCACUUGCCUGUGGGAUCCUCAAAUGCUCGGUUGGAUGCUUGAUAUUAGUCAUAAUUGACAGCCACAGCUUCUUCAAAGAAGCCUGGGACAACUUAGGUGUUCCCAGACAGCUCUGACCUGUACUGAGGCCUGCUGACCCCUAAGCUCUAGUUUGGACAGCUGAGACUUCCAAUGUCCUUUUAACUUACCAUCCUACUCGAAGAAUUUAGCUUUCCAGUCUUCAGACCUUGGGCUCCUGAUCUCUGCCUGGCCCCCAGGAUGCCUAGUUGCUUAAAUGUCAUUCGCACCUACUGAUCAUCAGCAGCUUAUUAGUUUCUGUUGAAGAGUGUCUCUUUCCCUGAGGUUGGUCUUCAUGCAUAGAGGUAGUAAUUGGGCUGCCAAGUGGCCUGUCUAGGAACCCUGAAAGCAGAGCCUCUGGUAACUGGGAGUGUGCCACGUUCCCCCUUCCCCCCACAGCUGGGCAGAUAUGGGCAUGGGCUUUAGGUGUAAAUCUGUGCCCUUUGGCCAAUAUUCAACAUUUUUUGUUGCUCUGUAACUUGUUUUUCCAGCUAGAUGCCAAACUCCACACCAGGUGUGCCUUACUCUUUCUUUGUUUUUUUUUUUUUUUGGUACCGGGGAUCGAACUCAUGUCCUUGCACUUGCACAGCAGGCGGCGAAACCACUGAGCUAAAUCCCUGGCCGUACUCUUUCUUAAUUUACAGCCACUCUGUAGGCUACUCCCAUUUUUGCUCUUUUUCCAUCUGUUCAUCACUCAUCAUAGGUAGGUGUUAACCUCCCCAAGAAUCCUUUCCUAACCAGUUGGCAACCUGAACCAUACACUUCAAGAACCUUAAUAGUGGCUCUGUUUUGCCUUCUGGACUGGGCUUUUUUUCUUUUUUGAGACAGAGUCUUGCUAUAUAGUUCAGGCUAGCCUCAAACUCCUCCCUCAACCUUCUAAGUGCUGGGAUUACAGCAAUGUGCCAGCACACCUGGCUUAGACUGGGCUUUUUUUUUUUUAGACAGGGUCUCACUAUGUAGUUCAGGCUAGUCUUAAACUUGCUAUGUAGUCCAGGCUGGCCUCGAAUUUGUGGCAAUCCUGCCUUAGCCUCCCAAGUGCUGGAAUCACAGGUGUGUGCCACCACACUUGGCUUGGACUGGGCUUCUUGAGAACAGGGAUAUUCACCUUUUCCCCAGGAUUGUAUCUAAUUAGGUUUUAGGCAUCAGAAAAUAUAGAUUUAAGGGGAAGAAAAAAGAAUCAAGAUGUAAUGUGUGCAAGUGCCAGUUCCUCAUGAGGAAUAUAUCUGUUAUGUAUCACAAGCAUACUAAUUAAAAAAAUACAGAUGUGGGCCAGGGAUUUAGCUCAGUGGUUCUGCCGCCUGCCUCACAAGCGCAAGGUCCUAAGUUUGAUCCCCGGUACCAAAAAGAAAAUACAGAUGUUAAGUGGGGAAGUGGGGUGUGGUGGUGCAACUACUAAGGAAGCUAGGAGGAUCACUUGAAUCCACAAGUUGAAAACCAGCCUAAGCAACAGUGAGAUCCUAUCUGAAAACAAACAAAUGAAUUUAAAUGAGCCAAGUUUAAGUAUUUCCCAGGACCUAGCAAGUUAAGUGAUUCUGAAGUGCUUUGAGACUGUAUCCUGAAGGAAAUAAUCUGACCCAUACCCACCCCAGUGCAGUAGAGGGUCAAGAGACCAGGGUUCACCCCAGGGAGAGACUGCUGUGACCAGGCCCUCAUUGUGGGGAGUGGGGAACCGGCUAGACCUGUCUAUCUGCUCUGGGUCCAUAUCUUGGUGCCAUUCUUAUUGAUUCUUUUCUUCUUGCCUUGGAG
rnacentral:lncRNA from 1 species